rnacentral:rRNA from 1 species
GGUAGCUUUGUGCAGGCGGUGGCGGUAAUACAAAGGUCCCGAGGUGUGUCCGGAUGCACGUGGCGUAAAGGGUGGGUAGGUGGCAGGGUAAGGUGGAUGUGAAAUCUCCGGGCUGAACCGGGAAACGGCAUUGGAUACUAGCCUGCUAGAGGGUUGGAGGGGGGACUGGAAUACUUGGUGUAGCAGUGAAAUGCGUAGAUAUCGAGGGGAACACCAGUGGCGAAGGCGAGGCCCUGGACAACUCCUGACACUGAGGCACGAAAGAUAGGGGAGCAAACAGGAUUAGAUACCCGAGUAGUC